GUGGGGAAUCUUGCGCAAUGGGCGAAAGCCUGACGCAGCCAUGCCGCGUGAAUGAUGAAGGUCUUAGGAUUGUAAAAUUCUUUCACCUGGGACGAUAAUGACGGUACCCGGAGAAGAAGCCCCGGCUAACUUCGUGCCAGCAGCCGCGGUAAUACGAAGGGGGCUAGCGUUGCUCGGAAUUACUGGGCGUAAAGGGCGCGUAGGCGGACAGUUUAGUCAGCGUUGAAAGCCCAUGGCUCAACCUUGGAAUUGCCUUGGAUACUGGCUGUCUUGAGUACGGGAGAGGUGAUUGGAACUCCGAGUGUAGAGGUGAAAUUCGUAGAUAUUCGGAAGAACACCAGUGGCGAAGGCGACUCACUGGCCCGUUACUGACGCUGAGGCGCGAAAGCGUGGGGAGCAAACAGGAUUAGAUACCCCGGUAGUCC
rnacentral:rRNA from 1 species